UUUAAACUGGUUUGGAAAACCAAAUAUAUUAUAUAUUUUGCUUUGUUCAAAAUAAGGUUUUCUAAUAAAUUAUGUUUUUAUCAGAUAUGACAGAAUCUUUUUUAAAAUCUCUUCAAUAUGCUUUUAUUGCUUUUGAGAGGUUUUGUUACUUUGAGUAAAAUUAAGUGUUCAUAACAGACGGGUAGUCAUGAUUGAGUUCAUUGUGUA
rnacentral:rRNA from 1 species